rnacentral:tRNA from 2 species
AGGGGUAUAGCUCAGUUGGUAGAGCGGCGGUCUCCAAAACCGUAGGUCGCGGGUUCAAAUCCUGCUGCCCCUG